AGAGAGAGAGAGAGAGAUGGGGAGAGGGGGCAAUAAACAUAGUUGCUUUCCUCUUGGCAUUUCAAGGCCUUGUUUGGAAAAGAAAGAAAAUGGAAAUUAAUUAAAAUAAAGAAAAGUGGGUUUUGCAAUAUUAGUGGAAUAUGAUGUUAUGGUAUUAAAUUAUUACAUAAGGAAGUAUGUAUUAUUUGCAAGGUGGUGAUGGGUGGUGCGGUGAUGCCUUAUGUGGGCAAGUGAGGUGGUGGAUUUCAAAGGUUGAGGAGGAAAUUAUUUGUUACUUGGUAAGGUCUUAGGGCAACCCAACAUAGAUAUAGAUUAUAGUAUAAACAUUAUUUUUUUUUAAUAUUAUUUUUAGGCUAGAUUUUGUUCAUA
rnacentral:misc_RNA from 1 species